rnacentral:lncRNA from 1 species
CACAAGAAGCUUGUUGCAGUCACAAGAAAGUCUUGUAAAUGAUGUGCCACCUGGGAUCACAGAAGGGCCUUCUCAGCCAGUUUUGAAGAAGACUGUUUGAUGCUGGGGAAAAAAGCUUAUUGAAUAUCCUGAAAACUGACCCUUUACUUGAAAGCACAAUCUUACCUGUGUGUUAGUACCAAAGUUUGUUACUGAAAGUGAAGUUGCUGGCAUUGAAAAAAUUGUGGAGAAUCCAGUCAGUUGUGUGUGAUGGAAGGAGAGAGGAAGAGAUCUCUGAUACUACCCUUGUUUUCCUUCGGUUCGUCUCUCUUGGAAAGGAAUCCUUGCAGAAAGGCACGACAAAUGGUGUGAGAUCUGGAUUUGUAUUUCUGCUGCAGAAGCCAUGGUUAUGCUGGAGGGAGCUACAGAGGCAUUCCCAGAG